rnacentral:rRNA from 1 species
UAAUACAGAGGGUGCAAGCGUUAAUCGGAAUUACUGGGCGUAAAGCGCGCGUAGGUGGUUUGUUAAGUUGGAUGUGAAAGCCCCGGGCUCAACCUGGGAACUGCAUCCAAAACUGGCAAGCUAGAGUAUGGUAGAGGGUGGUGGAAUUUCCUGUGUAGCGGUGAAAUGCGUAGAUAUAGGAAGGAACACCAGUGGCGAAGGCGACCACCUGGACUGAUACUGACACUGAGGUGCGAAAGCGUGGGGAGCAAACAGGA